CAAGUCAAUGCUUACAGUCGUGAGGUGGAUAAACAGAAAGGAUUAGUGACCCAGAGUCAAGAGAAACACAAAACUGAGGUCAUUCAACUAAAGGAAAAGUUAAAAACUGAAAUGAAGUCUAAGACUACUGAACAUAGAAAUGAAAAACAACAGCUGGUAAUGUAGUUUGUGUUUAUACUUUUUGCAUAUCAAC